UUUUUAUGAGAGUUUGAUCCUGGCUCAGGACGAACGCUGGCGGCGUGCCUAAUACAUGCAAGUAGAACGCUGAAGUCUGGUGCUUGCACUAGACGGAUGAGUUGCGAACGGGUGAGUAACGCGUAGG
rnacentral:rRNA from 1 species